rnacentral:rRNA from 1 species
CUAAGAAUAUUCCGCAAUGGACGAAAGUCUGACGGAGCGACGCCGCGUGGAUGAGGAAGGCCGGAAGGUUGUAAAAUCCUUUUGGGACUGAAGAAUAAGUGGUGCAGGGAAUGGCAUCGUGGUGACGGUAGGUCCUGAAUAAGCAACGGCUAAUUACGUGCCAGCAGCCGCGGUAACACGUAAGUUGCGAGCGUUGUUCGGAAUUAUUGGGCGUAAAGGGCAUGUAGGCGGCCCUGCAAGCUUGGUGUGAAAUGCCGGAGCUUAACUCCGGAAUUGCGUUGAGAACUGCAUAACUAGAGUCACUGAGGGGCAAUCAGAAUUCCAGGUGUAGGGGUGAAAUCUGUAGAUAUCUGGAAGAAUACCAAUGGCGAAGGCAGGUUACCAGCAGAUGACUGACGCUGAGGUGCGAAGGUGCGGGGAGCAAACAGGAUUAGAUACCCUGGUAGU